rnacentral:misc_RNA from 1 species
GAUGAAGAACGCAGCGAAAUGCGAUAAGUAAUGUGAAUUGCAGAAUUCAGUGAAUCAUCGAGUCUUUGAACGCACAUUGCGCCCCCUGGUAUUCCGGGGGGCAUGCCUGUCCGAGCGUCAUUGCUGCCCUCAAGCACGGCUUGUGUGUUGGGCCGUCGUCCCCCUCCUAGGGGACGGGCCCGAAAGGCAGCGGCGGCACCGCGUCCGGUCCUCGAGCGUAUGGGGCUUCGUCACCCGCUCCGUAGGCCCGGCCGGCGCUUGCCGACGACCAUCAAUCUCUUUCUCCAGGUUGACCUCGGAUCAGGUAGGGAUACCCGCUGAACUUAAGCAUACCAAUAAGCGGAGGA